rnacentral:sRNA from 1 species
UAGCUCAGUUGGUAGAGCAGUUGACUUUUAAUCAAUUGGUCGCAGGUUCGAAUCCUGCACGACCCACCAAUCUUUAAUGAUGGUAACUGGUAGAAACGUGAAGGAUAACGUUGCGUCAGCGACGGCCCGAAGGGCGAGGCGAAGCCGAGUCAUCCUGCACGACCCACCA